CCGACGGUGAGGGGCGAAAGCUGGGGGAGCAAACCGGAUUAGAUACCCGGGUAGUCCCAGUCGUAAACGAUGUGCGUUAGGUGUAUCGGUGACCACGAGUCACCGAGGUGCCGAAGAGAAAUCGUGAAACGUACCGCCUGGGAAGUACGGUCGCAAGGCUGAAACUUAUAGGAAUUGGCGGGGGAGCACCACAACAGGUGGAGCCUGCGGUUUAAUCGGACUCAACGCCGGGAAACUCACCAGAUAA
rnacentral:rRNA from 1 species